UUCAUAAAAGAAAAAAAAAUAGCCUUAAAUCAAAUAUUUGAUAAAAUUGUAUUUUUCUCACCAUGUCUAUUUUACUAAUUCUUGUCUGUUCUUUUGUUGAGAGUUUGAGAUGGAAAGAAGAUCGCAUUAUUUUCGAGGAUAGGUCAAGCAUUUAUGAUAACCGUAUUAUCGUCCCGUCUCAUAAACUUGUUUCGCGUAGUUUACGAACAUGCGAAUCUUAACUGUCCUGUAUCAAAUAUUCCGUGAAAUAAUGAUCAAACUAUUUUGCAAAAUUAUUAUAUAGCUAAUUAUCAAGAUUUAUGAAAAAAAAUCACACUGUUGAUGCACGAUAGCAAUCGAUAUAGGCGAAUCACAUUCUUCACUUUGAUAUCAAAUCAAAUUUUAUUGUUGAAAAUUGUUUAAUCUUAUUAUCAUAUUUAAUUUUUUACACGAAACUGAUUCAAAAUGUUAAAGGUCGAAUAAUAUUUGGAACACAAUUCCUACAAGAUUUUUUAUCACUAAACUCGUCGUUAGAAGAAGUCAUAUAAAACACAAUUUUCAUUCCUACACUUGUCACCAAAGGAAUUCAUAUGAAACACAAUUUCUACUCCUAUAUUUGCCACCAGACAUAUUCACAUAAAACACAAUUCUUAUUAUUACACUAGAGAAAUUCAUAUAGAAUAUAAUUUCUACUUGUAUAUAUUUGUCACCAUAAUGAAUGUUCAAGUUUCAUGCCUACUCUUACGUCAUUGGUUGAAUACGCAACCAAUGACAACAAGGUAUCGUUGCUACUAAUUGGAAACUUGCGCCACCAGUCAAAGGAUUCGCAAAAGGGAAAACCGUUAGAAAUUAUAAGAAAGAUUUUGGAACACACCGAUCUCUUUUGUAGAAUAUACACCAGAGGGAUCCACGUCGAAUAUAAUUCGUACUUUUUACUUCUCAUUGGAACAGUUUCACAUGGAAGACAAUUUCGCUGAACUGUUCUUUCUUGUAAGUGCAUCUUGUAACCUAAUUUCUAUUAUCCUAGAGUUUAAAAUAUGGAUUUGCUAAAUGAUUACUGAUCUGAACAUGUAACAAGAAAUUCUUCAUGAUUCUUAAUGAUUUAAAUAAAAUUUGAUAGCACGAUAAUUCUAUCUCUUAUCAUACGCACUAAGAUGAGGAAUAAUUUUAUUUUAUCUUAUUAUAAUUCUCUCCGACAUCUAACAACAAAGAAUACUUUGUGCUCAUCGGUUUCAAUCAAAUUUAAUCGAGGGAAAUAUACAAAUAUAAAAUUGUAAAAGACUGUAUGUGUAUUGGAGAGGUGUUCAAGAGCAAUUUUUCAACUCAAAUAGACACGUCAAAAGUUAUAUGAAAUAGAAGAAUCACGAGAGAAAUAAAUUUUUCGAAAGUUUAAUAACAUUCUGAACAAACUUGCAAGACUAUAAUGGUCUUUGCAAAGAUUUUCGCAUGUAUUAUACUUCGAGGCAAAGUACGAAAUAAAAAUGCAUAUAAAUAUUUCAACAGUUUUUGCUUUCUUCUACUUGUUCUUUUUUUCACGAAAUGUUACAGAGUGAAAGAGCAAGUACUUUGUUGAAUCUACCAAGUUCGUACAUACUUCACACAACUUUGGCCGUGAAGUUUCCGCCAAUUCACACGCCCAUACGCCCCAAGUUAAACUUUGAGGUCAGACUAAUUUUAUGUCUUCGCUAUAUCACUAGGAGAAUACUAUAUGUUUCAUCAGAUACAGUGGCUCAAGUUCCAAGUCUCGAAUCUUUAGACGGCUAAAUAGCUAAAUUUUGACGUCUGACCGAUUUUAUGACUUUUGAUAUAAGGGAAAGUUGUGGACAACGUUCGUGAAAUGAACUUGGACACUCGACGUGUUUUGUUGAUAAAACAGGAUGAAAAGAAGUCUGGGCAGUAGUAAAAAUCUUAAGUAGUCCUGUCACAGUGAUAAAGCGAUGUGAUGAAGUAUACCUAGUAGCAACAUGCUUUAAUUUAGUCUCUAUUAUUUCUUGAAGACUCUGUAAAGAUUCAUGAAGACUAUUCAAACAUAUUUCUAAAAAUUGAACAUAUUUCCAAUUUAUUAUACAAUCUUAUAAGAAAUAUAAAUUAAUAUCAAGUUGUCUUAUUACCAGCCGUAUUUUAAAU
rnacentral:lncRNA from 1 species